UGCGCACAGAAGAAAUUGUUCACUAUAUAUUCUAUAUAAGGAAAAAAAACAAAGGGCCAUAAUUAGGUCAAAUAUAUACCAAUUGCAAAACCCUGGCAAUAUGUGUCAGGGCACUUGAUGACAAAGCUUCUGAGAAAUUUGGUCAAAAUCCGUUGAGAAAUGUAGGAGUUGCGCACAGAAGAAAUUGUUCACUAUAUAUUCUAUAUAAGGAAAAAAAACAAAGGGCCAUAAUUAGGUCAAAUAUAUACAAAUUGCAAAACCCU